GACCUGCCUCUCCCCCACCAGUGUGGCUGCCCUGACUUCUCCCUUGGCUGCCUGCGCAACCACAGGGCCAGGCAGGGCCGGCACCUCCAGCCUUCCUGCCGGGCAAACCCAGCUCUGCUCAUGCAGCAUGGAAGACUGAGGCCCUCCGCUAUUCACAGACCCAUCAGACGGACAAAUGAGAGCAAGGGAGAGAGAAAAAGAGAAAAGGAAGUGAGGGGUGAAAGAGAGAGUCCUAAAUUAGGGAGAAAGAGGGAGGAAAUGGUAAAGGAAGGAAGAGGGAGAAAAAAGAGACAGAAUGAAAAGAGAGUGAAAAAUUACAGCGAGCGUGGUGCUGGUAUUUUGGAAUCCGUCCACACACUCUGCAGUGUGGGAAAGACUGUCUCCCCUGGUCAGACCUCCGGUCGGGGAGAAAGACUCUUUUCUACCCCUGGAGGAUGUGCUGUCAUAGCGGGGCCAAACGAUCUCCCUGUGAGCCAGCCAACAGAGCUAGGAAGCUAUCUGUAUGCAAAGCCUCAACCUGGGACAAUAACACCCUCUGGCCUAGCAAGAACAGCCAAGGAGGGAUUCUUAGACCCACGCUCAAACUGAGAGAGGGAAGGGAUAACAGGUUUAUGGGUUUGAGUGGUUUUGUUAGCCUUGCGUAUAAAGGUUGCGUGCGUGUGUGUUUCUGUGUAUGUGUGUGUGUUUAGCCAGCGUGAAGUCACACCAUAAAACACUGUAUCCAGUCUGUGGGGCUGCAAAAUCAAACAAGAGGCUGGUGUUUUUAAUUACCCCCCACCCUCCUCCCCUCCCCCCCUCCCCUCCUCCCCUCCCUACAACAUUCCCCGAAUGAGGACUGCGUGUCUGGUUACACUGCUGUUUUUGUUCCGCUCCCUCCCUGGACCAGAGUGCAGAGCUGAAGUGGAUAAGCCAGGGUCUACACUGGCACGCAUGCCCGGGGAACAAAGCCUGGUCUAGCUUGGCCUGGGCUCCUGCUAUUACACCACUCCCCAGGGGCCUCAUCCAGCUACGGUGCCCAGGGGAGGAGCGCUCAAUCUCCCACAGAGUCUAUGGAUUUACUGCCAUGGAACAAUAAGAGGCAUGGUACUGUUCUUCCAGGCUCUGGCUCUUUAACUGCCCUGCUUCUCCCAGACAAGCCACUCUCAGCCUGGUAUUGUUCCGAGGAGACCACCUGGAAACGGCCCGAAAAUGACCUCUCUCUACGUGCUCAGAGGAACAGAAUGAGGCCUUUAAUAACACCCUUCUAUGCACGUGGGAGAGAGAGCUCAGUAGUGGAGCUGUGCUCGGUGAGGAGAUGUCAGCCUUGACAACAGGUGGUUCUCAUGGCCCAGCAAGAAGGAGCACACAGGGGCCGAGUCUUCCCUGCCAUCCAGGGCCUACCAUCCAAUCAACCCACUACAGGAAGUCUACAGCCACACAGCAUUCACAACAACACCUUUGACUAUUCGUACCGUUCUCAUCUACCUCUCUUCUUCUGUGAGAAAGCCUCGUAUCACUGUGACUCAUAUUUUUGUUCUAAAUCUAUUUAUCGCCACUGAGAGUGAAUCAGUGAUGCAGAACUCAUAAAAGUGUCACUUUUUACACAUGGGUGGCUUAAAUAUUAUUUUAAUAUUUAGUCGGAUUGAUUUUAUCCAAAGUGCAUAGUAGUUAGGAAGUGUUUGCCUGGACGUGAUUAUUGCUUAAGGCUUCACAACAAAUCCGAUUCAGAAGCCUGUUUAAGAGGUCAUGGAAGUUGUACCCUUCUGGUCCUCACUCAGAAUUUUAAUUCUCAACGUUAUUGGAAAGGAAAGAAAAAGGUGCAGUGGUCUAACUUUUUCCAGAGCUGUAUAUCUGGACAAAAUGUCAGCCUUCUGGACACUGGCCUUUCUUUUAAUAUUGCAGCUCUGACCACUGCACCUUUUUCUUUCCUUUCCAAAAAUGUUGAGAAGGAAGAUUUUGAGUGAGGAACAGAAGGGUUCGAUUUAAUAGAUUCUGACUUGCAUGCAAGCUAAGCAUCGGGAUUUAAGAUGACAAACUGUUAGUGCCUAUCUGUCGUGAAUCUGCACAUGCCACUUUUGCAAAGCCAAUUCUUCCCUUCAUCCUUCUUGCACAACAAACUCCGACCUAGCACAUAAAAGGCACUGCUGUCUGCUGUCUCCCUGCAAAUUAUUCACUUCCUAUCAUGUUCAUCCCCAGUCAGACUGUAAUUUAACUGCAUGCUGUGUAAACACUCUCCAAAUUACAGCAUUACAAUAUACAUUUCACUUCUAGAACACAAUAACCUGUCUUGUAUCAUGAAUCAUUGAAAGAGCAAGGCCAAGAUCCAUGAAUUUGAGAAAUGUACGACAGCAUGCCACAGAAACUUUAAUUAUGUGCCCUGCUUAUCUGUCUGGGUCUGCAUUCAAUACAGCUAUAGUGGCCUGCUUCCUUUCCUUCAGUAAUAAAGACACAUUUUUGAUUGAUA